rnacentral:lncRNA from 1 species
GUUCUUUUUCUAAUUCAGCAAUUUUAUUAUUUUUAGUUUCUUCUAUUUUUCGUAUUUCUUCUGUAGUUUGUUGUUUUAUUUUUUCUAUUUCCUUUUUCCUAUCUAUUUCUUCAUUUUCUCUUUCUAUUCUUACCAUAGCUAUCAAUUUAUCUUCUAAUUUUAAUUCUUCUUUUUCUAACAUUAGAUAUAAAUGUUCACCUAUUUUCUUAUAUCUUCUUCCUAGAUUAGAAAAUACUAUUUUUAUUUUUAAUCCUUCG